ensembl:ncRNA B0334.17 ncRNA
UCUCUGUGACUCGUUUCUUUUACUGUCUGCGUCUAUGUAUUCAACGAAUUCAGUGCAAUUCAACAGCAAAGAUUACAAUGAUGACUAUUAUUUUUUUGAGAAAACCUUCUUCGUGAGACGUCAUCAGAUUCAUAAAGGUCUC